AAGGCCCGAAGCCCCCCGAGGGGACGGGGCCUGGACUCCUGAUGGGGAGCCCGGAGCGAGGCUCUGGCGAGGAGCCAUUUAAGGCUCCGGGAGGAAAGGGUGAGGAAACCGAGGCAAGUGGGCGCAAGUGUCUGAGGUCGGAUUUGAACUCGGAAAGACCAGUCUCCCCACUCCAGAUGGAGCUCUCUGCACUAUGGCGCCCCCUGGCGGCCCCGGGAUACAACCUCCCCCUCCCCCCAGCGGCUCCACAUAGACGCAUCUGUGGCGGAUACAUUGUGACAGAUGAGACCGCCCCUCGGGAUACAUUGUGACGGAGGAAGAUCCCAGUCACACCCUCCUCCAGACUUCGACAUCAGGGGCCCCUUUCGCACACGGGCGGGUCUACACCGUCCCACUCAGAGGCGUGAGUGGCCCCUCGGCCCUCACAGGAGAGACCCGGUCCUCUGUCCGCCGGAACCCGGUCCUCUGUCCACCGGAACACAGACGCAGUCACACAGCCUGUCCCCAAGGCAGAGACGCAGUGGGGGGGGGGUAUGCAGGAAGCGCUUAAUAAGUGCUUAUUUAGUUAGUAAGUCUCGUGGGAUUUCAUAUGUAUAAAGAGCUUCACAAUCCGGGAGGGAGGGAGAUAAUUGGGAACUGAAAAUUACAUUAAAUUACAAAUAAAUAAAAAA